CAAUAGUCAAAAUCGGAAGAAGAAAACGAAGAAAAACCAAAGUUUUAUUUAGAAUUUACGAUCAUUUGUAUGUAAGUAUUAACGUUUUCUAACAUUGGAAUUAAAAUUUUAGAUAUCUUCAAAUUCAUCCAAACUUUAGUACACUUAUAGCUUGAAGAAAUUUACGGUACUCAACGAACACCAAUAUAAAUAUGAUAUAUGAGCAAAAAUUGAUAUUUCAAGUUCAUACUACGUAUUGGGUAUUCCCUAUUCCCUCUCUUUGAUGCGCCUGAAUCCCUCCAAUCCCAAGAACGAUGGCGAGGCAUUUCAUUGGCAGACGACAAUGCUAUAGCUUGAAUUUUUCUGUAUGAAAUGAGAUGGUUAACUGGUGAUGGUUGUAUGAUGAAAUACUCGAUGUUUCCUUCCCAUGUAUCUCACCAUUAAGGAAACCAGACCACAUGCGCACCUUUGUAAAGUUAGGUACCCUGUACCUUUUUGGGUUCAAAAUGGUUUUAAUGGUUUCCCUUAUCAUGACCUGCCAAGUUGGCUAAGAGUGGGAUAGCUUGUUUUUUAGCAUUUGUUAUUGGAGUCUUGCCUCAUGAGCUUCAAGAACCAAGUAAUCUCUUUCAGGCAAUGUCCAUUUCUUGCAAGAUUUCCGGGAUUAUCUUUACUGGGCCAACUCAACGUGUCGAAUGGCAAACAAAGUAGAACUUAUUGCACCUUGCCUUUAGCUCCAGACCUUAAUCCACUGGGUGUUUGUUUCAAGUAGAUCAGCUUCAUGGGAAGGCAAGUGAUUUGGACACACUUGUUCCAUUAAGUACCACAGAAAGAUAGAAAUACUACUUUAGGACUGUUCAUGAAGUGUGAUGGAUACAACAUGCGAGCAGAUCCAUAUUCCAUAGAGAUCCACCAUAUCAUCUAUUCUUGCCAUGAUGUACUCUUUGCUUGGUUUCAAUUUGCUGGUGGCUCUUGGCUACCCACAAAAUGCUCAAAUGACCUCGAAGCUCGUGGAAGCCAUCGUUUUCAGCAUCGUACCCAUGCUCAUUGAGUGGUCUAUUUUCUGCCUCACUCACUUUGUGAUAACCCUUUAACGGGGUUGCUCGUUUUAUUGAGACUGCAGUUGCCGACCCCUUUCGUUUUUGUCUUUUUUCUUUUCUCAGAAAGUGGUGUCAUCUAGAGUGUGGUUCUGUCCAAAUAAAACAGUUUCAUCUUUCAUCUUCCAUCUUCCCUUGCACUCAUCACAUGUCUCCUACAUGAUGUCAGUGACUUUAUAAGUACCCUUCUUUUUGUUCACUUAAACAAAAUAAACUCUCGCAAUUCGGAUCUGAAUGAACACAUAAUCCACAGAAUAUUUGCAUUUUAAUGAGUGGGGCUGUGUUAGAUUGGUGCCUUAAAUUGUGCAUGGUUAUCGCUUCUGGUGAUUUCCAUUCACAUUGUAAAGGCAACCUGUACCUUUCACACCAAAUUUUGUAGAUUGUUUGUCCAAAAGAAGGCAAUAACUGUAGCAUAUGAGGUUGCAGGAUUGAGGCAGGGACUUUAACCAAAUAUGGGGAAGAUUAAUGUGGUCUGGUCCAUCUCACAUGCCCUUAUUUUGGUGCAGGAAAGAAAGAAAAAAAACUUUCUCUAAGUUUUCGUUAUUGCCACUGGAUGACUUCAGGGCAUGGAGUGAUCAUUACAUUCCAGAAAAAUGCACAGAAACUGCAGGUGUUUCAGGCUUUACACAUUAAAUAUCCAGAUUUGUGAAAUUUAACAAGGUCCUUUUUAAUUAAUUUUUAUUUCCUCACAAGAAAUUACUGUAAAUGUUGGACUGUUGCUUGCAACUACCUGAAGAAUCAUCAGUGCAAGUACUGUAUGAUUCUUGCAGAAUCUUGAGUAUUGAUUUUGCAGAUCCAAAUUAUGGAUUGAUUUAUGAGUUCUGAGAAAUGUUUACAGCUAAUGUUAAACUAGUUGAGGUAGAUGCAACUGUGAGAACCUGAUGGAACAUAAUUACACACAGUACAGUACAUUUUACAU